AAAUAAUACAAACAUGUAAGUCUUCUGUAUUAACGGUAUGAAAUACUGGACAUAAUGAAGACAUGACAUUAUUUAGUGACUAAUAGUUUUAUUUUCGUAAGUUUUAAGCCUGCCUCUACUUAACAUAUUUUAUGACACAUAAAAUUAUGUAUAUCAAGGAAAUCUGAAAUGUGCACAAGAAAAGGGUUUUAACAGAUUAAAACAUACUGAUACAAGAAAAAAUUACUCAUUUUUUCCUAUUAAGACAUGUUUUUGUAUUUGCACAUAUGGGUACCUAUGGGUCUGUAUAUAUGUGUCGCGCCAUGAGAUUUUUGGCCCAAAUGCGGCGUUACGUCAUUCGAGAAAAACCCAAUUAAAGUUACGUCACAAAAAUGAGUGGAGUUCAACACGUUUUCGCGUCAAUUAAUGCAUUUUAUCAAUUAACACUAUACUAUUGGGACGAUAAAUGAAUGAAGAGACAAACGUCAUUUACCAAGCAGGUAUUGUAACAGUUCCGUGUUUUGACAUUUCGUUUCAUUAUCAAAUAAUUGACAAUUUAUCGCCCUUUGUAUCAACACGCCAUUUGUAAACAUGAAAGGUCGUGUGAAAGGAAAUUUUUAAACAGUAAUUUGACGAUUGAUUUAAAAGGGAUAAUGAAUGUCAUUGAGCGAUUUACUGAUCAACUAUUGAUGAACUACUGAGAAACAUCUGGCAUAUUGCUAUGACCUUAAACAAAA
rnacentral:lncRNA from 1 species